rnacentral:lncRNA from 1 species
AGCGAUGGCUCUUCCAUACAGCAGAGAAGGAAGGGGAACCCCCACCAGGGGUGUGGAGAGACAGUGAAGGCCAGACUUGACCAUCAGCCAAGGUUAAAAGAAUGACCAGAGACUGGCAACCACAAAACAAGGAAGCCAGGGGUGGCCAUUCCAAGUCUCAUCAAGGACCUGGGGCAGGUUCCCGAGCCCCAAGGGGCCAACGGUACGAUCCCCAGAAGCCAAGGUCUGCAAGCCAUCAAGGAGAGCCCACGGCCCCAGUAAGGCCUAGAGGGCAAGGGUGUCUUUGAUGAGCCUGCGCAUGGUCGUGGUGACCGAGGUGCCCAGGGCAUCAGUGAUCUGGAAGGAAAUCUUGUAGAGGUAGGGCUGCACGUCCCGCAAGCCUGUGUCAAACACGUUGUCCACCUCCGACUGCGUGGGCAUCUUGGGCAGGUACUCGUGCCGGUUCAUCACCUCCACGAUGUUGAUGAUCUUCUCACAGAGCUUCUCACCCACCUUCUCCCGACAGAUCUGCCGCUCCUGCUCUGUGGCCAGAGCUACCACAUGCACCUUGACCGUCCACACCUCCCAGGGGAUGCAUUCGUCUGAGAAAGGCCAGCGAGACUUCUUCUUCUGGU